GCCCGCUCAGAAACUUAAAGGAAUUGACGGGGCCCGCACAAGCGGUGGAGUAUGUGGUUUAAUUCGAUGCAACGCGAAGAACCUUACCUGGUCUUGACAUCCCGGAGACCCUUAGGAAACUAGGGGUGCUUCCAUCUGGAAGAAUCUGGAGACAGGUGCUGCAUGGCUGUCGUCAGCUCGUGUCGUGAGAUGUUGGGUUGAGUCCCGCAACGAGCGCAACCCUUGCCUUUAGUUGCCAGCAGUUCGGCUGGGCACUCUAAAGGGACUGCCGGUGUUAAACCGGAGGAAGGUGGGGAUGACGUCAAGUCCUCAUGGCCUUUAUGACCAGGGCUACACACGUACUACAAUGGCCGAUACAAAGGGCAGCGACACUGCGAGGUGAAGCCAAUCCCGUAAAAUCGGUCUCAGUCCGGAUUGGAGUCUGCAACUCGACUCCAUGAAGUUGGAAUCGCUAGUAAUCGUGGAUCAGCAUGCCACGGUGAAUACGUUCCCGGGCCUU
rnacentral:rRNA from 1 species